rnacentral:rRNA from 1 species
GACGUAGGGUGCGAGCGUUGUCCGGAUUUAUUGGGCGUAAAGAGCUCGUAGGCGGCUCGUCGCGUCGACCGUGAAAACCCGCAGCUUAACUGCGGGCUUGCGGUUGAUACGGGCGGGCUAGAGUUCGGUAGGGGAGACUGGAAUUCCUGGUGUAGCGGUGAAAUGCGCAGAUAUCAGGAGGAACACCGAUGGCGAAGGCAGGUCUCUGGGCCACUACUGACGCUGAGAAGCGAAAGCAUGGGGAGCGAACAGG